UACAGAGGUGGCAAGCGUUGUUCGGAAUUACUGGGCGUAAAGGGCGCGUAGGCGGUCUUAUAAGUCUCGUGUGAAAUCCCUCGGCUUAACUGAGGAACUGCACGGGAUACUGCAAGACUUGAGAUCGGGAGAGGGAAGCGGAAUUCCGGGUGUAGCGGUGAAAUGCGCAGAUAUCAGGAGGAACACCGGUGGCGAAGGCGGGUCUCUGGGCCGACACUGACGCUGAGGAGCGAAAGCGUGGGGAGCGAACAGG
rnacentral:rRNA from 1 species